rnacentral:rRNA from 1 species
GGGCCCGCACAAGCGGUGGAGCAUGUGGUUUAAUUCGAUGAUACGCGAGGAACCUUACCAGGGCUUAAAUGUAGUGGGACAGGUCUAGAGAUAGACCCUUCUUCGGACUCAUUACAAGGUGCUGCAUGGUUGUCGUCAGCUCGUGCCGUGAGGUGUCAGGUUAAGUCCUAUAACGAGCGCAACCCCUAUCGUUAGUUGCCAGCGAGUAAUGUCGGGAACUCUAACGAAACUGCCAGUGCAAACUGUGAGGAAGGUGGGGAUGACGUCAAAUCAUCACGGCCCUUAUAUCCAGGGCUGCAAACAUGCUACAAUGGCCGGUACAAAGGGCUGCGAGACCGCGAGGUUAAGCGAAUCCCACAAAGCCGGUCUCAGUUCGGAUUGGAGUCUGCAACUCGACUCCAUGAAGCUGGAGUC